GGGUUGUUGGCGCAGUGGUAAGUGCGUGGUUAGCAAACGGCAGCCUUACGGGGCAGCUGUAAAGAAUAACCAGAGAGGUUAUAGGUUUAAAUCCCGUACAAUCCA